GAUGAACGCUGGCGGCGUGCCUAAUACAUGCAAGUCGAGCGAAUAGGGGACGGGUGAGUAACACGUGGAUAACCUCCUAUAAGACUGGGAUAACUCCGGGAAACAGGAGCUCAAUCGCACACUUAUAGUUGGAUCCGCGCUGCAUUAGCUAGGUGGUAAGGUAACGGCUUACCAAGGCAACGAUGCAUAGCCGACCUGAGAGGGGGACCGGCCACACUGGAACGGAUACACGGUCCAGACUCCUACGGGAGGCAGCAGUAGGGAAUCUUCCGCAAUGGGCGAAAGCCUGACGGAGAAACGCCGCGUGAUUGAUGAAGUUCUUCGGAUCGUAAAACUCUGUUAUUAGGGAAGCGGUACCUAAUCAGAAAGCCACGGCUAACUACGUGCCAGCAGCCGCGGUAAUAC
rnacentral:rRNA from 1 species